rnacentral:rRNA from 1 species
AUUGAACGCUGGCGGAAUGCUUUACACAUGCAAGUCGAGCGGCAGCGCGGGGGCAACCCUGGCGGCGAGCGGCGAACGGGUGAGUAAUACAUCGGAACGUGUCCUUAAGUGGGGGAUAGCUCGGCGAAAGCCGGAUUAAUACCGCAUAAGCUCUGAGGAGGAAAGCGGGGGCUCCGUAAGGACCUCGCGCUGUUGGAGCGGCCGAUGUCGGAUUAGCUAGUUGGUGGGGAAAGGCCCACCAAGGCGACGAUCCGUAGCUGGUCUGAGAGGAUGAUCAGCCACACUGGAACUGAGACACGGUCCAGACUCCUACGGGAGGCAGCAGUGGGGAAUUUGGACAAUGGGGGCAACCCUGAUCCAGCCAUUCCGCGUGAGUGAAGAAGGCC